rnacentral:rRNA from 1 species
ACGAACGCUGGCGGCGUGGAUAAGACAUGCAAGUCGAACGAGAGAAUUGCUAGCUUGCUAAUAAUUCUCUAGUGGCGCACGGGUGAGUAACACGUGAGUAACCUGCCCCCGAGAGCGGGAUAGCCCUGGGAAACUGGGAUUAAUACCGCAUAGUAUCGAAAGAUUAAAGCAGCAAUGCGCUUGGGGAUGGGCUCGCGGCCUAUUAGUUAGUUGGUGAGGUAACGGCUCACCAAGGCGAUGACGGGUAGCCGGUCUGAGAGGAUGUCCGGCCACACUGGAACUGAGACACGGUCCAGACACCUACGGGUGGCAGCAGUCGAGAAUCAUUCACAAUGGGGGAAACCCUGAUGGUGCGACGCCGCGUGGGGGAAUGAAGGUCUUCGGAUUGUAAACCCCUGUCAUGUGGGAGCAAAUUAAAAAGAUAGUACCACAAGAGGAAGAGACGGCUAACUCUGUGCCAGCAGCCGCGGUAAUACAGAGGUCUCAAGCGUUGUUCGGAAUCACUGGGCGUAAAGCGUGCGUAGGCUGUUUCGUAAGUCGUGUGUGAAAGGCGCGGGCUCAACCCGCGGACGGCACAUGAUACUGCGAGACUAGAGUAAUGGAGGGGGAACCGGAAUUCUCGGUGUAGCAGUGAAAUGCGUAGAUAUCGAGAGGAACACUCGUGGCGAAGGCGGGUUCCUGGACAUUAACUGACGCUGAGGCACGAAGGCCAGGGGAGCGAAAGGGAUUAGAUACCCCUGUAGUCCUGGCAGUAAACGGUGCACGCUUGGUGUGCGGGGAAUCGACCCCCUGCGUGCCGGAGCUAACGCGUUAAGCGUGCCGCCUGGGGAGUACGGUCGCAAGAUUAAAACUCAAAGAAAUUGACGGGGACCCGCACAAGCGGUGGAGUAUGUGGUUUAAUUCGAUGCAACGCGAAGAACCUUACCUGGGCUUGACAUGUAAUGAACAACAUGUGAAAGCAUGCGACUCUUCGGAGGCGUUACACAGGUGCUGCAUGGCCGUCGUCAGCUCGUGUCGUGAGAUGUUUGGUUAAGUCCAGCAACGAGCGCAACCCCUGUUGCCAGUUACCAGCACGUGAAGGUGGGGACUCUGGCGAGACUGCCCAGAUCAACUGGGAGGAAGGUGGGGACGACGUCAGGUCAGUAUGGCCCUUAUGCCCAGGGCUGCACACGUACUACAAUGCCCAGUACAGAGGGGGCCGAAGCCGCGAGGCGGAGGAAAUCCUGAAAACUGGGCCCAGUUCGGACUGUAGGCUGCAACCCGCCUACACGAAGCCGGAAUCGCUAGUAAUGGCGCAUCAGCUACGGCGCCGUGAAUACGUUCCCGGGUCUUGUACACACCGCCCGUCACAUCAUGGAAGCCGGUCGCACCCGAAGUAUCUGAAGCCAACCGCAAGGAGGCAGGGUCCUAAGGUGAGACUGGUAACUGGGAUG